rnacentral:rRNA from 1 species
GACGAACGCUGGCGGCGUGCCUAAUACAUGCAAGUCGAGCGAAUCUUUGGGAGCUUGCUCCCGAAGGUUAGCGGCGGACGGGUGAGUAACACGUGGGCAACCUGCCUAUAAGACUGGGAUAACUUCGGGAAACCGGAGCUAAUACCGGAUAAUUCCUUUUCCUCUCACGAGGGAAAGCUGAAAGACGGUUUCGGCUGUCACUUAUAGAUGGGCCCGCGGCGCAUUAGCUAGUUGGUGAGGUAACGGCCACCAAGGCGACGAUGCGUAGCCGACCUGAGAGGGUGAUCGGCCACAC